UACGUAGGGAGCAAGCGUUGUUCGGAUUUACUGGGCGUAAAGGGCGCGUAGGCGGCAAUUCAAGUCAUCUGUGAAAUCUCCGGGCUUAACUCGGAACGGUCAGAUGAUACUGUUUUGCUAGAGUGCAGAAGGGGCAAUCGGAAUUCUUGGUGUAGCGGUGAAAUGCGUAGAUAUCAAGAGGAACACCUGAGGUGAAGACGGGUUGCUGGGCUGACACUGACGCUGGAGGCGCGAAAGCGUGGGGAGCAAACAGG
rnacentral:rRNA from 1 species